rnacentral:lncRNA from 1 species
GUUGGCACAAUUCGAAGUUCAUCUCUUUGUUUCUAAUGGCAAAAUAAACGUCCAAGCCCCAUAGAAUUCGAUGUUUGGUUGUUGGUUUAAAAGAAAAAGAAAAAAUAAUAAAAAAGGGAUUGACCCUUUCUCUUCAGCAGGCAAAUAAAACGUCGAAGCCCCAUCAGUAUUCGACGUCAUAUAGUUUUAUUAAAAGAAAAAAAGAAAAAAUCGUGGCGCGCUGGUUUGAAUAAUUACCACUAUAGAACGUCACGUCGUCAUGGUAUUUGAUGUGCUAUUCUGAACUUAUAGUGAAUGUGUAAAUAUAUCUUGUAUCAUUGUCAAAAACUAGAUUCUUAAACCCUUCC